GGGGGUAUAGCUCAGCUGGGAGAGCGCUUGCAUGGCAUGCAAGAGGUCA
rnacentral:tRNA from 1 species